GAUGAACGCUGGCGGCGUGCCUAAUACAUGCAAGUCGAGCGAACGGACGAGAAGCUUGCUUCUCUGAUGUUAGCGGCGGACGGGUGAGUAACACGUGGAUAACCUACCUAUAAGACUGGGAUAACUUCGGGAAACCGGAGCUAAUACCGGAUAAUAUUUUGAACCGCAUGGUUCAAAAGUAAAAGACGGUCUUGCUGUCACUUAUAGAUGGAUCCGCGCUGCAUUAGCUAGUUGGUAAGGUAACGGCUUACCAAGGCAACGAUGCAUAGCCGACCUGAGAGGGUGAUCGGCCACACUGGAACUGAGACACGGUCCAGACUCCUACGGGAGGCAGCAGUAGGGAAUCUUCCGCAAUGGGCGAAAGCCUGACGGAGCAACGCCGCGUGAGUGAUGAAGGUCUUCGGAUCGUAAAACUCGGUUAUUAGGGAAGAACAUAUGUGUAAGUAACUGUGCACAUCUUGACGGUACCUAAUCAGAAAGCCACGGCUAACUACGUGC
rnacentral:rRNA from 1 species